CAUCCAAAAUUACUCUUCUAUUUCGCCCGCAAAGGGGCACCACUAAAAGCCACCGCCCACCCUGACAUUUUUUCGCCAGAUUCAAUCUGUUCUCCUAUCCCACGAUUGCAGUGAUCAGGGCCGGGAGAUUGGGGAUCGCCGGCUGGGUGUCCCGCCGGUUCGAGCUCGGAUCCACAGCAUCAACCAUCCCCGCGAGCACUCCUCUCUAUUCUCCCCCUGAUUUGCAGCGACGGGCGACGGCGGAUUGAAGGAGGCCGCCCCACCAGCGGAGCUCGGAUCCACCGCAUCAACCCGCGCGCGAGCCUUUCCCACCGAUUACAGCGACCGACGAUGGCUCUUAGAUCACCAGGAUACAACGAAGGGAUUUGCGGGAGAAAAGCACCGAGGCGAGGUUGACGAAAGAGAGAAGUUGCUAAAAUAAUGCCAACACUUCCGGAGAGUGAGAGGGAAACAAGGGCAUAUCUUACGGAAAGGAAAAGCAAGAGUGAGGCAUAUUUGAAGGAGGUGUCGGUGAUCGCAGUGUCUCAGAGUAUGAACCAAAUGUUGAAGAGGAGGCCCAUUUUGCAGAAGAAGCUUUGAGAGAUGAAGACAAAGCCGCUCUUGCCAUGUCCAAAGAAAUGCAUGGGUUAUGCAUCAAGAUCCGGGUGAUCUGGGACCUCUACUUCAUCAACAUAGAUCUGAGAAGAAAGAAUUGAAUAGAAGGAUAGAGAUGCGAGAGAUGCAAGUGACAGGCAUUGAGAGGAGUUAGCCGCGAGGCUUGAAGCACAAGUGACAACAUUUCAAGAGAUGUAGAGGAAGCAACAUACGAUGAUAUCUCACUAAGUUUCAAGGUACAAGUGUUCUCCCUGAGUAUGUAUCGUUGCUACGGUUCGUUAUGCCAAGACACCACGUGAUGAUUGGGUAUGAUAAGCUCUACGUUCACAUACAACGGAUGCAAGCCAGUU